rnacentral:rRNA from 1 species
AACGAACGCUGGCGGCGCGCCUAAUACAUGCAAGUCGAGCGAGAAGGUGUAGCAAUACACUUGUAAAGCGGCGAACGGGUGAGGAAUACAUGGGUAAUCUACCAUCGAGUGGGGAAUAACCAACCGAAAGGUUGGCUAAUACCGCGUACGCCUCCGAGUCUUCGGGUUCGGAGGGAAAGCUGCACUGUGAGUGUAGCGCUCUUUGAUGAGCUCAUGUCCUAUCAGCUUGUUGGUAGGGUAACGGCCUACCAAGGCUUUGACGGGUAGCUGGUCUGAGAGGACGAUCAGCCACACUGGCACUGCGACACGGGCCAGACUCCUACGGGAGGCAGCAGUAAGGAAUAUUGCGCAAUGGGCGAAAGCCUGACGCAGCGACGCCGCGUGGGGGAUGAAGGUCUUCGGAUUGUAAACCCCUUCGGGAGGGAAGAUGGAGCGAGCAAUCGUUCGGACGGUACCUCCAGAAGCAGCCACGGCCAACUUCGUGCCAGC